AUACGUAGGUGACAAGCGUUAUCCGGAUUUACUGGGCGUAAAGGGCGUGUAGGCGGUCUUGCAAGUCAGAAGUGAAAUUCCUGAGCUCAACUCGGGCGCUGCUUCUGAAACUGCAGGACUUGAGUGCUGGAGAGGUUAUCGGAAUUCCCGGUGUAGCGGUGAAAUGCGUAGAGAUCGGGAGGAACACCAGUGGCGAAGGCGGGUAACUGGACUGCAACUGACGCUGAGGCGCGAAAGUGUGGGGAGCAAACAGGAUUAGAUACCCUGGUAGUCCACACUGUAAACGAUGAAUGCUAGGUGUAAGAGGUAUCGACCCCUUUUGUGCCGGAGUCAACACAAUAAGCAUUCCGCCUGGGGAGUACGGCCGCAAGGUUGAAACUCAAAGGAAUUGACGGGG
rnacentral:rRNA from 1 species